UACGUAGGGGGCAAGCGUUGUCCGGAAUCAUUGGGCGUAAAGCGCGUGUAGGCGGCUCGGUAAGUCCGCUCUGAAAGUCCAGGGCUCAACCCUGGGAUGCGGGUGGAUACUGUCGGGCUCGAGUCCGGAAGAGGCGAGUGGAAUUCCUGGCGUAGCGGUGAAAUGCGCAGAUAUCAGGAGGAACACCAAUGGCGAAGGCAGCUCGCUGGGACGUGACUGACGCUGAGACGCGAAAGCGUGGGGAGCAAACAGG
rnacentral:rRNA from 1 species